rnacentral:rRNA from 1 species
UGCGGAGGGUGCGAGCGUUGUCCGGAAUCACUGGGCGUAAAGGGCGCGUAGGCGGCGCGGGCAGUCAACGGUGAAAGCUCGGAGCUCAACUCCGAGUCGGCCGUCGAUACUCCCGUGCUUGAGCACUGUAGAGGCAGGUGGAAUUCCGGGUGUAGCGGUGGAAUGCGUAGAGAUCCGGAAGAACACCGGUGGCGAAGGCGGCCUGCUGGGCAGUAGCUGACGCUGAGGCGCGACAGCGUGGGGAGCAAACAGG